rnacentral:rRNA from 1 species
AUACAGAGGGUGCGAGCGUUAAUCGGAAUUACUGGGCGUAAAGCGCGCGUAGGCAGUCUAUUAAGUCAGAUGUGAAAUCCCAGGGCUCAACCUUGGAACUGCAUCUGAUACUGGUAGACUAGAGUUUUGGAGAGGGAAGUAGAAUUUCAGGUGUAGCGGUGAAAUGCAUAGAGAUCUGAAGGAAUACCAGUGGCGAAGGCGACUUCCUGGCCAAAAACUGACGCUGAGGUGCGAAAGCGUGGGUAGCAAACGGGAUUAGAAACCCCGGUAGUCC